rnacentral:tRNA from 1 species
UGGCGGAUGCCAAUUCCCUACCUUGACAUGGUAGGGGUCACAGGUUCGAACCCUGUACCGCCCACCA